ACCCAUCAAGGUGGCCAUCUCCAACAGCAAAUGAGUCCCUAGCUGUUAGAAAUCAAAAGUUCUCCGUUGGUUGUGAAAUGUCUUAUCAAACUUACCAAGGUUCUCCAAAGCACCAUUUAUGAGGUUGACCUACACCGAAUUCUUCAAAGCAUUCACAUAUACCUACAAGAUCUUGGUAUGGAAGAAAUCAGGAGGAGAGCUGGAGCUGAUGACAAACCAUUACGAAUGGUAAAAACAGUUCCACACGAACUUUUUAAGCUUCGUGGUACUGCCAUAAAGGG